rnacentral:rRNA from 1 species
UCAUGCAGUCGAUUAGCCAUGCUAGUUGUACGAGUUUAGACUCGUAGCAGAUAGCUCAGUAACACGUGGCCAAACUACCCUGUCGAGCGGAUCAACCUCGGGAAACUGAGGCUAAUCCCGCAUACGACUCUCAGGCUGGAACUGCAGAGAGUUCGAAACGCUCCGGCGCGACAGGAUGUGGCUGCGGCCGAUUAGGUAGACGGUGGGGUAACGGCCCACCGUGCCAGUAAUCGGUACGGGUUGUGAGAGCAAGAGCCCGGAGACGGUAUCUGAGACAAGAUACCGGGCCCUACGGGGCGCAGCAGGCGCGAAACCUUUACACUGCACGCCAGUGCGAUAAGGGGACUCCAAGUGCGAGGGCAUAGCGCCCUCGCUUUUCUGCACCGUAAGGUGGUUCAGGAACAAGUGCUGGGCAAGACCGGUGCCAGCCGCCGCGGUAAUACCGGCAGCACGAGUGAUGGCCGCUGUUAUUGGGCCUAAAGCGUCCGUAGCUGGCCAGGCAAGUCUAUCGGGAAAUCUCCCCGCCUAACGGGGAGGCGUCCGGUGGAAACUGCCUGGCUUGGGACCGGAAGAUCCAGAGGGUACGUCCGGGGUAGGAGUGAAAUCCCGUAAUCCUGGACGGACCACCGGUGGCGAAAGCGCUCUGGGAAAGACGGAUCCGACGGUGAGGGACGAAAGCUCGGGUCACGAACCGGAUUAGAUACCCGGGUAGUCCGAGCUGUAAACGAUGUCUGCUAGGUGCGCCACAGGCUACGAGCCUGUGGUGUGCCGUAGGGAAGCCGUGAAGCAGACCGCCUGGAAGUACUCCGCAGGGGUCCCG